rnacentral:rRNA from 1 species
UGGAUCCAGACUUUGAUCAUUGGCUCAGGAUGAACGCUAGCUACAGGCUUAACACAUGCAAGUCGAGGGGAAACGAUAGAGGAAGCUUGCUUUUUCUAGGCGUCGACCGGCGCACGGGUGAGUAACGCGUAUCCAACCUGCCCAUCACUUGGGGAUAACCUUGCGAAAGUAAGACUAAUACCCAAUGAUAUCUCUAGAAGACAUCUGAAAGAGAUUAAAGAUUUAUCGGUGAUGGAUGGGGAUGCGUCUGAUUAGCUUGUUGGCGGGGUAACGGCCCACCAAGGCGACGAUCAGUAGGGGUUCUGAGAGGAAGGUCCCCCACAUUGGAACUGAGGCACGGUCCAAACUCCUACGGGAGGCAGCAGUGAGGAAUAUUGGUCAAUGGACGAGAGUCUGAACCAGCCAAGUAGCGUGCAGGAUGACGGCCCUAUGGGUUGUAAACUGCUUUUAUAAGGGAAUAAAGUGAGUCUCGUGAGACUUUUUGCAUGUACCUUAUGAAUAAGGACCGGCUAAUUCCGUGCCAGCAGCCGCGGUAAUACGGAAGGUCCGGGCGUUAUCCGGAUUUAUUGGGUUUAAAGGGAGCGUAGGCCGGAGAUUAAGCGUGUUGUGAAAUGUAGACGCUCAACGUCUGCACUGCAGCGCGAACUGGUUUCCUUGAGUACGCACAAAGUGGGCGGAAUUCGUGGUGUAGCGGUGAAAUGCUUAGAUAUCACGAAGAACUCCGAUUGCGAAGGCAGCUCACUGGAGCGCAACUGACGCUGAAGCUCGAAAGUGCGGGUAUCGAACAGGAUUAGAUACCCUGGUAGUCCGCACGGUAAACGAUGGAUGCCCGCUGUUGGUCUGAAUAGGUCAGCGGCCAAGCGAAAGCAUUAAGCAUCCCACCUGGGGAGUACGCCGGCAACGGUGCAACUCAAAUGAAUUGACGGA